AGCAAAUCCACAUCAGGGACCAACCAAACACAACCCACCAUGACAAGAGAGAGACUGAUUCAGUCCUCUUGGUACCCUGUGGGUCAUUAGGUCACCAUGAGCUCCUUCCAUUCUUCACUAUCCUCUGAAAGCUGCAGAUACACCCCAAAUAGACCCUGAGACACUAACUACUACAACUCUACCAUGAACAGUGAUGAUAUCUGGAGACAGAGUCACACAUGAACAGCUCCACGUUUUACCAAGUCAACAACCGGUUGCUUCCACAACAACUGCAGCAUCUUUGAAUGUGACGUCUCACGGCUGCAGACGACCAAAAGAUACCAAACUGUCCAUUUACAUUGAAGAGAAGAAGCAGUGUGAAGAGAGCAGAAAGAGUCACAUGUUGAUCACAUGUUCAUCCUCAGUUUACUGUCAGUCUUUGUGAUCACAGAUAUUAAAGCAGCUUUUCUCUGUUGUGGAACAAAGUGAAUGUAAAACAGGACACAUGUCUCCUGAAACGUCCAAUGAUGAGUCCACACAACAGCGUCAGCAGUAGGAAAGGAGAGAGGCCCAAAGUGUGUUAGUGUUGUGUUGGGGCUGUGAAUGAGCCCUGUCACUGUGAUCAGCUUCCUCCUUCUAAUCCACCAACUCAGUGUUGAUGAAGACUACACAGAGAGAUCACAGCCUUCUUUAGACUCAACACUGCACACAUGACGCCUCUGUUCAUCUCAGUGCUGCUGGCUGCUACGAGCCUCGAAUGCAGAGCGCAAAAAGACAACGUGCUGCAACCAGAAGGAGAUGAGACUGCUGCUGAAGGAGAGGCAGUAACACUUGGCUGUCAAUAUAACAGCACUUCAUCUAAUAACUAUCUGUUCUGGUACAAACAGGAUGGAAACAACAGCCCCAAAUUCAUCCUGAGCCGCUUUAAGGUCGGCUCGGGGAAAACAGAGGACCAGGAGAGAUUUUCAUCCACACUGAAUUCAGCCUUAAGAUCAGUUCCUCUGAGGAUCCAGAAGCUUCAGCUGUCAGACUCUGCUGUGUACUACUGUGCUCUGCAGCCCACAGUGACAGGAAACACCACAACUCUGUACAAAAACCUUUGGAGCAAAGACAACACAAUACUCCACAACGUCCACUAGAGGGAGUCACACUCUGUUCCACUUCAACAGGAGCUGAUGAUCCAGUCUAGAUUGUUUCUCCUCAUGAGUUCAGAGGGAAACAAAACCUGACUGGACAGAGUCCUUCUCUCAGCAUUUCACUGCUUUAACUGCUACACUAUGAAUUAUGGACA